rnacentral:rRNA from 1 species
GUGUCAGCCGCCGCGGUAACACGUAGGUGGCAAGCGUUGUCCGGAUUUACUGGGCGUAAAGGAUGCGUAGGCGGAUGUUUAAGUGAGAUGUGAAAUACCCGAGCUCAACUUGGGUGCUGCAUUUCAAACUGGAUAUCUAGAGUGCAGGAGAGGAAAGCGGAAUUCCUAGUGUAGCGGUGAAAUGCGUAGAGAUUAGGAAGAACACCAGUGGCGAAGGCGGCUUUCUGGACUGUAACUGACGCUGAGGCAUGAAAGCGUGGGGAGCAAACAGGAUUAGAUACCCUGGUAGUCC